AAAAAAAAAAAAAAAAAGAGCAAUCAGUGGGGAAGCCUCAUCUGAUUCUGAAACAACAAAAAAAUCACAGGCACACCCGUGGAGGCAGAAACAGAUGCGUUUUGCUGGUGGGGAUGGUUCAAGCUGAUCGAUUAGGUAACCUCUGGGACUCUCCUCUCUCCCGCAGCACUAAAUGAAACGGGCUUUCCCUGCGUGGACCGGUGAACAGGACCAAUCUGGGAGCUCCAGACCGACGAGACUCACUUUAGGGAAAUGACUCAACCGGGAGCGACACGCUCCUGGCUGGAAAAGGCACACAAAUAAGCACCCGCACACAGUUUAAAAGCUUAUUUUUAUUCUUUUUUUUUAAUUUUUAAUGCGGACUCCACAGUUGGGCCUCUCUCUUUUUCUCUUUCUCUCUCUCUUGGGAGCGCCGGUUUAAAUUCCCCGCAUAAACUGAAGAAGAUCCGAAAAGAGACAGACGGCGUAAAGUGGGUCACCGCUGCGCAUCGAUGCCGUUUUUGUUGCAUUUUUCAAACCAAAAAAAAAAAAAAAAAAAAAAAAAAAAAAAUCAAACAGAACAAGCGGAUGUGGCACCAAAUGUUUUUCGUUUGUUUUUUUUUCUGGUAGGGAAUUCACGUUUGGGAAGCAGAUGAAAUGCAAUAAUUGCCACUACUCUGUGAGCUGUCCACCCACCGCGCCACCCCUCCCCUCCUUCCUUCCUUCCUUCUCGUUUUUGCGCGCUGUGUCACACACUUCUCUCUCUCUCCACGCCCGUCCUGAGCUGUUGCUUAUUAACAUCCAAGUCUCUCGUCAGCCCCGUCGAAGCGCGUGAAAAAUCGGCUUAUCGGUUUUCCGCCGCGGCGUUUUGCGCCUGAUGAAGGGAGAAGAUGCGCUGCGCGCAAACCGGAGGAUGAGGAUAAACCAGGCUUAAGGGGCGGCGGGGUGGGAGGGGGACGUCUGUGAGAAAAAUGGGGGGGCAAGAAAAGUGACACUCUGUCCUCAUGGCGCGCUUCUUUUGAAACGCCUCAUCAUCAUGGACGCAUUGGCAUGUUGGCAUUUUAUCGCUGCCACAAAUAGGGAAUAAUUAUCAGAGAAAGAAGAAGAAAAAAAAAACAUGCCCAAAGCGCACGGAGGGACAACUCCAGAUCUAAAUGGCGGAGCUUGAAGUUUGCAGAAAUCUGAGUUUGGAGAGGGUGGAGCGAUGCAUGAGCGUGAUGCAGUCCGGGACGCAGAUGGUGAAGCUGAAGGCGGGAUCCAAAGGACUGGUUCGACUCUUCUACCUGGAUGAGCAUCGCUCCUGCAUCCGCUGGAAGCCUUCACGCAAGAGUGAGAAAGCAAAGAGUGAGUAGAAGGACUUUGAUGGACACAUCUGCUUUCGCAAUAACAUGUCAGCUAAUGUGCAGUCUGUGUUUUUAUUUUUAUUUUAAGACCGUUUUGCUUUAUUUUAGCUUCCAGGUUAGAUGCAUCUCUGUCAGAAUCACAGGGAAUAAUAAUAAUUAUAGUUAUGACAUGUUUUUUUAUUUUCUUGCCUUUCAGAGAUUUACAGAAUAAUAUAAUGAAGACCCAACAGUGGGUAUGGAAAGUAUUCAGACUACUUAAAAUUUUUCACUCUUUGUUUCAUUGCAGGCAUUUGCUAAAAUCGAAAGAGUUCAUAUUGUUUUUCAUGAAUGUACACUCACCUCGACAGAAAAAAAAUAAAUGUAGACAUUUUUGCAAAUUUAUUAA